GGGGACUUGUUCUCUAGGUCCAGGAUCUUCCUAAUGCAUCGCCUCAGCCAUGAACAACGCGGAGUUCUUUAAUACCCGUGAGCAGCAGCCCAGGCCCCUUGAAGAGUGCAGACUCCCACCUGGCCUGGGUCCGUAGGCCUCGCUCCACCCGCUGUUUACUUAUCCCAAGUCUGGAACCCACGGUGGCGGGGGGAAGGGCGUCUGGCUCCGCAGCAGAACACGAAGUUUGCAUUCCCCAAGGGGCGGCCAGGGGGCGGACCAGGGAAAGUCCGCCCCAGGUCAGCGACUUACAACUCUUCAUUCUGAAGUGCGUGUAGUGCCCUUGUCUCCAGAGACGCAGAGAGUCCUCGAGGCCCCUUGAGCUAAGUGCAGCCUGGCCCAGUUUCUCCUGCCCUACUCUACUCCCCUCCCUAUAAGCGACCCACCCUCAAGGGGCGGAGGGCGCGUAGGGAUGCGCUGACUCAUGCCCGCGUAAUUUCGACCAGUCUUUCAACCUGAACGACCCCCAGAAUCUGGCUGUCUGAGUUAUCUGUGGGUGGCUCCCUACCGAAACCCCCAGGCGCCCCACCUCUCCGCCUGUGACCCCUAACCGACACCCUAGUGCCUCAGGGCUUUUACUUGCUAGGGCUUUUACUUAGCAUUUAAAGACGUUUCUCUAGAGAUAAGGAUUUCUCAGCAUGUCUGAGCCCCUCUCUCUGUUUACAAGGUCAUUGCUUGGUCUAAAUUUGUCUCAAUCAAAACAUUUUUGCGCUCAGAAUGGUGUAGAGUGACGAUGAGGUGGCGGUAAGGGGUUGAGCGCUCACGCGAACGCCUAAGUGACCAGAACGACUGGUGUGAAGCCGUGAUCUGACUCUGUGGAGCCUGGGACUGGUUUCAGCGAGAGCCUCUGUACUGCUCUGUAGUCUCUGCUAGGACAUGGACGAAAAGGGACGCAGCCGGGAGAGCGACUGCCCCAGGUGGGGGCUGGGGGGACGUAAGGGAAGAAUAAUAAUUAUCUGGCUGUGUUUUUGUUUAAAAAAAAAAAAAAACUGGUGUAAAUCUCCAUAGACUUCCUAUCCUCGCUCCCUUCACCCACCCACGCGCUCCCAAGAUGCAAUAAGCAAAUAAAAAGACUAAUAACGCUGUAAAAAAAAAAAAAAAAAA
rnacentral:lncRNA from 1 species